UGCGGUUAAAAAGCUCGUAGUUGGUUUUCUGUCGGGUGCUGCCGGUCCGAACCUAGUUCGUGCAUCUGGUCCAGCCUCGGCAUUUUCCUCGGGAGCGUGCUUGUCAUUCAUUUGAUGAGGCGCGGCCGGGGACUUCUACUUUGAGGAAAUUAGAGUGUUUACGGCAAGCAUGCGCUUGAAUAUAUUAGCAUGGGAUAAUUAUACAGGACCUUAAUCCUAUUUUAUUGGUUCCUAGGAAGAAGGUAAUGAUAAAUAGGGAUAGCUGGGGGCACUCGAAUUAACGCGUCAGAGGUGGAAUUCUUGGAUUGCGUUACGACGACCUACUGCGAAAGCAUUUGCCAAGGAUGUUUUCAUUGAUCAAGAACGAAAGUAAGGGGAUCGAAGACGAUUAGAUACCGUCGUAGUCCUUACCAUAAACUAUGCCAACCAGGGAUUGGAGGCCGUCCUUUCAAUGGCUCCUUCAGCACCUAGCGAGAAAUCAGAGUCUUUCGGUUCCGGGGGGAGUAUGGUCGCAAGAUUGAAACUUAAAGGAAUUGACGGAAGGGCACCACCAGGAGUGGAGCCUGCGGCUUAAUUUGACUCAACA
rnacentral:rRNA from 1 species